AAUUAAAGCUUUCGCUUACACCGAAACAUAUCUGUGAAAUUCUGAUCAUUUUGA
rnacentral:tRNA from 1 species